UUGAAGGCCAUGCUGGAGGUCUGGAUCUUCUUAAUCUGUCCUGGCUUCAGCGCGUUGAUGACCCUGUGGAGGAAGACCAGUGUGAGGAAGGGGGCUUAGACGGAGGUUUUACAUGAGGAGGAGGAACGAGGAGGAGUUGAGGAUGGGUGAAGAUCUAUGGGGAAGACAAGAAUUGACUACAUAAGGAGGAGAAAUGAGGGAUGAGGAUUAAGGAGGGAAACUGUGAUGGUGUUUGCAAGAGGGAGAGAGGAGGGAAGAGGAAUAAAGAGGAAUCUGGUGGGGGAUAGAGAGGAAGAGAGGAGGUAAGAGGAAUGAAGAUGAGUCUGAGAAGGGGAUUGAGGAAGAGAGGAGGUAAGAGGAGAAGGAGGAGGAGGAGGAGGAGGAG